GUGGGGAAUAUUGGACAAUGGGCGAAAGCCUGAUCCAGCCAUGCCGCGUGUGUGAAGAAGGUCUUCGGAUUGUAAAGCACUUUAAGUUGGGAGGAAGGGUAGUAACCUAAUACGUUGCUACUUUGACGUUACCGACAGAAUAAGCACCGGCUAACUUCGUGCCAGCAGCCGCGGUAAUACGAAGGGUGCAAGCGUUAAUCGGAAUUACUGGGCGUAAAGCGCGCGUAGGUGGUUCAGUAAGUUGGAAGUGAAAUCCCCGGGCUCAACCUGGGAACUGCUUUCAAAACUGCUGAGCUAGAGUACGGUAGAGGGUGGUGGAAUUUCCUGUGUAGCGGUGAAAUGCGUAGAUAUAGGAAGGAACACCAGUGGCGAAGGCGACCACCUGGACUGAUACUGACACUGAGGUGCGAAAGCGUGGGUAGCAAACAGGAUUAGAUACCCUUGUAGUCC
rnacentral:rRNA from 1 species